CAACAUGCGGAGGAUCAUUA
rnacentral:rRNA from 1 species